rnacentral:rRNA from 1 species
CCUACGGGAGGCAGAAGUGAGGAAUAUUGGUCAAUGGGCGCAAGCCUGAACCAGCCAAGUCGCGUGAGGGAUGACGGUCCUAUGGAUUGUAAACCUCUUUUGUCGGGGAGCAAGGCCCGCCACGUGUGGCGGGAAGGAGAGUACCCGAAGAAAAAGCAUCGGCUAACUCCGUGCCAGCAGCCGCGGUAAUACGGAGGAUUCGAGCGUUAUCCGGAUUUAUUGGGUUUAAAGGGUGCGUAGGCGGAAGGUUAAGUCAGCGGUAAAAUGUCGGUGCUCAACACCGGCCUGCCGUUGAAACUGGUCUUCUUGAGUGAGCGAGAAGUAUGCGGAAUGCGUGGUGUAGCGGUGAAAUGCAUAGAUAUCACGCAGAACUCCGAUUGCGAAGGCAGCAUACCGGCGCUCAACUGACGCUGAGGCACGAAAGCGUGGGGAUCGAACAGGAUUAGAUACCCUAGUAGUC